GCGGCCGCAGGAUGUUCUCUAAGAAGCCGCACGGGGACGUGAAGAAGUCCACCCAGAAGGUGCUGGACACCAAGAAGGACGCGCUGACCCGCCUCAAGCACCUGCGCAUCGUCAUCGAGAAUGCAGACUCUAUUGACCUUAAACAGUUCUUUGACCAGCAUUUUUCACAUAUAUACUAUGUGUUUUUUGAAAAUUUUGUGACUAUUGAAGCCAGUCUUAAACAGAAAGGUCACAAGUCUCAAAGAGAGGAAUUAGAUGCUAUACUUUUUAUUUUUGAGAAAAUUUUACAACUUCUUCCAGAAAGAAUUCAUCAGCGAUGGCAAUUCCAUAGUAUUGGGUUGAUUUUAAAGAAACUACUGCACACAGGAAACUCCUUAAAGAUCAGACGGGAAGGUGUUCGUCUCUUCUUGUUAUGGUUGCAAGCUCUUCAGGAUAACUGUAGCAAAGAGCAGCUCUGGAUGUUUUCAUGCUUGAUCCCUGGAUUUUCAGCACCACAAUCUGAAUAUGGACCUCGAACUUUAGAUAAUCUUAUUAAUCCUCCACUCAACCUUCAAGAAACUCAAGUAACUAUAGAGGAAGUCACCCCUCUUGUUCCCCCGCAGUCAGGAGACAAAGGACAAGAAGACCUCACAAGCUAUUUUCUUGAAGCACUUUUAAAAUACAUAGUAAUUCAGGUAAAAAGUUUAGAAUGGAAGAACAAAGAAAACCAAGAAAGGGGAUUUUCAUUUUUGUUUUCACAUUUUAAGAAGUUUUACUUGCCUUAUAUUUUCCCAAACCUCUGCAAGGAGAAUAGUUUGUAUCAUCCUGUACUUGGUA
rnacentral:lncRNA from 1 species